rnacentral:siRNA from 1 species
UGUGUCGUGUGCGGACAUCAUCGC